CACUAUUGAGAAGAUGGUAGAGAAGAUUCUUGCUGGUUGUUCACAGUCGCACACACAUCUGGUCUCUAUGGAAAAUCCACUCGAAGUUCCGAUUUGAUCAGUCUUCUCAGAAGUGUUAGCUCGCGCGAAAAUCUUCUUCUUAGCUGAACUGGAUUCUUUCUUCAAAUCUCUGAAAUCUUUUCAGAAGUUGAAGAUAAACUUCUAGAGGAGAUGAAGAGGUGAAAGAAAGAUAAAGAAAAAAUAUUUUUUUUCUAAUUUAUUCUUUCUUCCCAAACCCUUAGAACCAAAAAUUUAAUAUUCAAGUUUUUGCGCACACCCUAAGAGAGAGGAUCCUCUUCUCUAUUUUUUACAUCAUGAACCAUGCCCAAACUUCUUUCAUAUGAAGACCUCUCUUCUGAUAUCUUACAUACACAAAAGAAACCACAAAAUUCUCUUUUAUAUGCAUGUAAGGAGGUGGGAUGAAGAGUCCUAGUGAUCCUGGACUCUUACAGGAUUCCACCUCCCUUCAUAAUUCUAUAUCUCAAAACAUGCCAAAAAAAUAUGGGAUGCCCCUUCUCAUAUUUUUUCAUGAUAAAUCAGUUCUCCAACAGAUCUCUCACAAAAAAUCUCCUCAAAAUAUCACACAUAUAAGGAGAAAAAUAUUUAUUGGUGUGGAGAGGUUGAUCUGGAUGAGAAUAGAUUCUCCUGAUAAGGAAUAUUUUGAAAUUCAAUUUUAGAAUCUUCUUUUUAUCAAAACC
rnacentral:lncRNA from 1 species